GACGAACGCUGGCGGUGUGCUUAACACAUGCAAGUCGAACGGUAAGGCCCUUUCGGGGGUACACGAGUGGCGAACGGGUGAGUAACACGUGAGUAACCUGCCCUCAUCUCUGGGAUAACAGUCCGAAACGGUUGCUAAUACUGGAUAUGAGCUUGCAAGGCAUCUUGUGGGUUGGAAAGAUUUUUUUUGGUUGGGGAUGGACUCGCGGCCUAUCAGCUUGUUGGUGAGGUAGUGGCUCACCAAGGCUUCGACGGGUAGCCGGCCUGAGAGGGCGACCGGCCGCAUUGGACCUGAGAUACGGCCCAAACUCCUACGGGAGGCAGCAGUGGCGAAUAUUGCACAAUGGACGGAAGUCUGAUGCAGCAACGCCGCGUGCGGGAUGACGGCCUUCGGGUUGUAAACAGCGUUCAAUUGUGACGAAGCUUUUUUGUGACGGUAGCAGUAGAAGAAGCACCGGCUAACUACGUG
rnacentral:rRNA from 1 species